rnacentral:rRNA from 1 species
UACGUAGGGGGCUAGCGUUGUCCGGAAUCACUGGGCGUAAAGCGCACGUAGGCGGAUCUUUAAGUCAGGGGUGAAAUCCCGAGGCUCAACCUCGGAACUGCCUUUGAUACUGGGGAUCUCGAGUCCGGGAGAGGUGAGUGGAACUGCGAGUGUAGAGGUGAAAUUCGUAGAUAUUCGCAAGAACACCAGUGGCGAAGGCGGCUCACUGGCCCGAUACUGACGCUGAGGCACGAAAGCGUGGGGAGCAAACAGG